rnacentral:rRNA from 1 species
CCUACGGGUGGCAGCAGUGGGGAAUAUUGCACAAUGGGGGAAACCCUGAUGCAGCGACGCCGCGUGAAGGAAGAAGUAUCUCGGUAUGUAAACCUCUAUCAGUAGGGAAGUAAAUGACGGUACCUGACUAAGAAGCCCCGGCUAACCACGUGCCAGCAGCCGCGGUACUACGUAGGGGGCAAGCGUUAUCCGGAUUUACUGGGUGUAAAGGGAGCGUAGGCGGUGAUGCAAGUCAGAAGUGAAAGCCCGCAGCUCAACUGCGGGACUGCUUUUGAAACUGUAUGACUGGAUUGCAGGAGAGGUAAGUGGAAUUCCUAGUGUAGCGGUGAAAUGCGUAGAUAUUAGGAAGAACACCAGUGGCGAAGGCGGCUUACUGGACUGUAAAUGACGCUGAGGCUCGAAAGCGUGGGGAGCAAACAGGAUUAGAUACCCCAGUAGUC